GGCUCGGUAGCUUAGUUGGUAAAGCGCUCGUCUAGCAUACAAGAGUCCUGGGGUUCAAAUCCAAGCCGAGCAC
rnacentral:tRNA from 1 species